GACGAACGCUGGCGGCGUGCCUAACACAUGCAAGUCGAACGGAGCUAUUGACUUCGGUUGAUAGCUUAGUGGCGAACGGGUGAGUAACGCGUGAGCAACCUGUCUUUCAGAGGGGGAUAACAACGAGAAAUCGUUGCUAAUACCGCAUAAGACCACACUGUCGCAUGGCAGAGGGGUAAAAGGAGCAAUCCGCUGAUUGAGGGGCUCGCGUCCCAUUAGAUAGUAGGUGAGGUAACGGCUCACCUAGUCUGCGAUGGGUAGCCGAGCUGAGAGGCUGAACGGCCACACUGGAACUGAGACACGGUCCAGACUCCUACGGGAGGCAGCAGUGGGGAAUAUUGGGCAAUGGGCGAAAGCCUGACCCAGCAACGCCGCGUGAGGGAAGAAGGUCUUCGGAUUGUAAACCUCUGUUCUUGGUGACGAAAAGAUGACGGUAGCCAAGGAGAAAGCCCCGGCUAACUACGUGCCAGCAGCCGCGGUAAUAGUC
rnacentral:rRNA from 1 species